UUGAAGAGAAAUUGAAAUUAAAUUGUAUUGAAUCUUUACCACUUUAAGCUGUACAGAUGGCCUAUGUAUAUAUAGAGGCCAAAGACUAUUCUAGAAGAAUAUUUACAUGCAAUGCACAUUUACAUAACCAGAAAUACAACAAAUUCUCUAACUAAUACUGAAUUUCUCUUCCUUUUCUUAAGAGUUCUUAUUUUGUUGUUGCUGUGUAGUUGUUAAUUGCCAAUGUGUCCUUUCUAUGUUGACUGUGUUGCUGAGUCCCGGAAUCAAUUGAUUGUUGUCUUUCCAAUUCAGCGGCUUUAUCAUCUUCCAAUAGUUAUCCUUCUUGUGGGAAGAAUCUGAGGAUGACUUCGCACUCUCUUCCUUUUUGCUUGGACAUUGCAUGGAGCCGUCCUCAUUGGUGGACAAGCUUGGGCUCUCCAUCACAAAUCAUCAUCACUCAAAUCUUCAUCAUUGGAAUCAUUGGUACUCACAUUAUCAUCCACAAGCAUUUAGAAAUUAAUGAAAAAAUGCAAAAAUCAUAAUUUUUAUUUUGUUAAAGAACAUAACAAUCAAACCAUCUACAAGAAUGCCUUAGAUAAAGUCGAUAGCUGCGUGUUUCAUCAUGGCACAAAAGAGACAUUCUGCAUAUAUACAAAUUCAGUCCAAUAUGAUAUUCUUAUUUUAUAUAAAUAAUGACAUACUAAUACAUAAUCAUUGUGGCAUAUAAGCACAAGUAAAUGAAGUUGUUCUAUGAAACAGCAGGUAGGCUAUCAGGGUCAACUACGAUUCCCUUAAACCCAACUUCUUCCAGCUGGGAUUAGAUGAGUAAAGAUUAAACAGUAAUAGUAAUUUCCCCAAAACAGAAUAAAUGGAGUGUAUUCAGUGAAUCCUUCCAGCUUGGAGCAUUGCACAUUUGAUUCCACUUAUGAUGUCAAAAAGCAAAAAAGGGGAACAUUAGGAAUCAAGUAAUUUCCCUAGUUUCAUUUGCUUGCCGUUUUGUAUCCUACAAGUAUCAUAGGCAGGAGCAGCCUAUCAAUCAAAUAGAUACUACUUUGUAGUUACAUAGAACACCCAUACAAGAGGCCACCUUUUUUGAAAGAAUUCUUUUACUAUAUCAAAAAAAUAGCACAAUCAGUUAUACCAUAGCUCCACUGUAAGAGCAGCUUUCCUUUGUAUACAGAAUAUCCUACAUAAACCCUCGGUGGCAACUGCCGUGUCGGGCACAAAACUCAUGGAGUAAAUCCAAAAUACAUGUAAUUUGCAAUAUUACUGCUGACAGAAUCAUUGAUAACUAUAACUCAAUUUAGUGGGUUGAUAUAAAAAUUAAACCAUGGAAAAUGAAAAUCGCCCUAAUUCUAGAGAACCAAAUUCAGGACAAAAGUUAAAUUUGACAGUGUCAUAUUCUCUUCUCUCACAAAUGUAAUUCAAAAUACAUGUAAUUCGUAAUAUUACAUCCAAUCCUAGUACAAAUUACACCUAAGCAUUGAAUUCAAAAGGGAAAAAAACUAAGAAACGCAUUAAGACCAUUUAAGCUGUUACUUUGAAAAGAAAACAAAAGAAAGAUCUGGUUCGAAACUAAGAAAAUGAAAGAAGCUUUGCGAAAUGACGGAUGAAAAUCACGUUUACGUACAGAAAAAAAAUCCUUUACAUAAACUGCCUUUUGUUAUAUAAUAAAUGGAAAACGACAAAGAAACACCUAAAAUAAGAAUUUAAAAUUCUCAGAGUAAUUAUACCCAAAUAAAAUGCGAUAACACCUAAAAAAAAAAAAAAAAAACAGUUCAUACGCUAAAACCACUGGGCAAAAUCACAUUUGAAGCAUAAAAAAGAUGAAAACCUCAUUUUUGGAGAAACCCUUAAUUUACCUGUCGAGAACUGCGAAGAAGAAUCGAAGGAAGACCUCUGCUGCUGCUGGUGUUGUUCUUGGGAUGCAACGUAUUGAGAUUUUACUUCAAAAGAUUGAUAGCUCAAAGAAUUUUGGGGGAAAUGGAAAAAGAUGAAUUCAGGCGUUUUCUGCGUUUUCAAUUCUUUGUGUGUUUUUACCUCGAAACACUCAAAACGUCUUUUUAGACGUUUUGAGUUAUGUGUACAAUUUUUUUUUUUUUUUGAAAAAUUAAUUUUCGAAAAUGAGAAAGAGAUCGCAUUCUCACAAUUUUUAAAAAUCGAAAACAGAAAACGAUACGAAAAUAGAAAGAGAA
rnacentral:lncRNA from 1 species